GUAUGCUACUCUACUCCAACACAUUUUUUAUUUUGAGAUCGGAAGUUGUGAACUGAAUUGACUUUUAUUAAAACGCUUUUUUGGGUGUGCAAAAGAACGUCCGUGCUCCAUGGAGGUUGAAACCGAAGAGAGCGUUCUCAAGUAGCGCUUAAUGUAUGGUUCCACGAUGCGCGUGGAAAAGUCGAGCAGCGCUUAAGGCGCGUGCUGAUGUGAAUAGUUCUCGUGUAGCUAUGGUCGCUACAGUACCCCCCUUUUAGCCGCGAAGACGGUGCGGAACGGAGGUGCAAGGGGCGACUCUUUAAACACGGGGUUCGUGGCGAUAUCUGUUGCGAGAAGUAUGUCCUAUUCACUGAGGUGCUUCGGAAAUCGAACGCGGCGACCGGAGCGUGUUGUUACCGGUGGCGCUUGAAGUUCAGGAGCGGUGCUGCAAGGAGAUGAUGAUCUCUGCUGGCGAUUUCCCUGGUGCUGCGAGGUUGAUGACGGCGGUCGGCUAGUUGGCUCUUGAAGCCCCGACGAAGGAGUAGCGUCGAUGGCUGGGUUGCUGAGCUCAGAGGAGCGUCCGCUGUCAGUGUUGUCUUCUGCCGCAUAGCACGGUUUGAGACGGUCGAUAGAAAUUCUGACCACCUUCCCGUUUACCAACAGCGAGAAGAAUUUUGCUGCGCGGUCCGUAACUUUGUAGGGUCCGUCGUAAGGCGCUGAUAACGAAGGCCGGACGGAGUCGUUUCUGACAAACACAUGAGAAGAAGUGGCGAGGUCCUUGUGGAAGAAGGAGCGCCAGCGCGUUGCGGCGUCUUUGGUGAUGGCUGCUUGUUGCAGCGUGGAAACCUGGAGGCGCCAGCGGUGGUGGCGAACUGCUCCAGGGGCGCCAGCGCGUUGCGGCGUCUUUGGUGAUGGCUGCUUGUUGCAGCGUCGGAACCUGGAGGCGCCAGCGGUGGUGGCGAACUGCUCCAGGGGGCGCCAGCGCGUUGCGGGGAAUGCUGCGCUGUCCUUACGAAUUCCUGGCCAGACAAAUCGUGCAGUCAUCAUUUUAGUGGUUGACCUUGUGCCUGGAUGAUGAAGGUUGUGCACUGCUCUAAGGAAAGUCUCCCGGUAAGCUCUUGUGAUGAAGGGGCGCAAUCGGUUGCCGUCGUCGUCACAAACUAAGCUUGCGUUAGAGCCAGGAAGGACUGUGGUGCGAAGAUUGAGGCCAGACUUGUCGUUGGCGCGUAGUAGUUGCUGUAGUUCAUCGUCUGUGGCUUGGUCCUUAGCCAGGGCAUCGUAGUCGAUGAUGUUGUCAGUACUGCAGGUUUCGAUGCGGGACAACAAGUCGGCCGCGACAUUCUCGCGUCCUUGGACGUGGCGGAUGUCCGUUGUGAAUUGCCCGAUAAAGUCCAACUGACGGAGUUGGCGAGGCGAGGCUUUAGAUGCCGACUGGUGGAACGCAUACGUGAUGGGCUUGUGGUCCGUGUACACGUGAUGUUGCCUGCCUUCAAGCCAAUGGCGGAAAUGUCGAAUCGCCAAAAAGAUUGCUGUCAGCUCCCUGUCGUAGGUGCUGUAAUUCCGCUGUGCCUGGUCGAAUCGCUUUGAGAAGAAUUCUAGUGGCUGGAGUGUUCCAUCUAUUACUUGAUGUAGCGCGGCGCCUGCGGAGAAGUCCGAAGCGUCAACCCACAAAGAGAGUUCGGCGUCUGCUUUGGGAUGAGCUAGGAGCGUAGCGUCCGCCAGUUGAUUCUUGCAAUUUUCGAAGGCAGCGGUGGUUUCCUCGGACCAGGUUAGUGGGGUCCGGCAGUGCGAUGUUCCGUCGGCAUGGCGCCGACGAUGGUAGCGGGGGUGGACGCGCUGGUCGGAGUGCUUGGAGGUUCGGACUGGUCCAGAGUGGCCAUGACGAUCUAAUUCACUGAUCACGACUCACUUAGUGGAUAGUGUCACCGAAGCACUUUUUCACGCUUGUCUCACCUCGAGCGAGAGAGCAGCGGGCGGAGAAGUUCUCGACGCCUGUAUGUACGAUGGCUUUCUCUCCUCAAGAACACGUGUUCGCGAGUGGAAGAGUGCGCGUGCACUUCGUUGCGAAGCACGAAGAGAGUUUUUUGCGCGCUUGUUCACGAUCGCGGAGAGAGAGUUUCUGCACGGAUGGCGUGCCGAUUUCCGCGAACUGGUUGUAACGUGUUUUUUCCUGCACGCGAGCGUGGCGUCGAUGCGUUCUUGGAAUUGUUUAAUGCUGCUCUUCGGUUUCACUGGAAGCUGGUGGUAGCACGGAGUCUUUGAAGGACAGGAAAUAUCAGGAAUGGCCGGCGCGCGUCGCCGUAGCGAUUCCUGCUGAUUCCUGUGUCCUUGUCGGUCCACUUUCUGCGCCGGUGUUCGGCGGAACGAUUUGCACUGACACUGGCCGAUCAAACUGCACCGGCGUGGUUGCGUGUUUUCUGAAGAGCCGGUGUUCGGCGUCACUUGUUCACUUCCCGAUCACGUCGGGGUCACCAAUUUAUGUGGGGUAUGCUACUCUACUCCAACACAUUUUUUAUUUUGAGAUCGGAAGUUGUGAACUGAAUUGACUUUUAUUAAAACGCUUUUUUUGGUGUGCAAAAGAACGUCCGUGCUCCAUGGAGGUUGAAACCGAAGAGAGCGUUCUCAAGUAGCGCUUAAUGUAUGGUUCCACGAUGCGCGUGGAAAAGUCGAGCAGCGCUUAAGGCGCGUGCUGAUGUGAAUAGUUCUCGUGUAGCUAUGGUCGCUACAGUACCCCCCUUUUAGCCGCGAAGACGGUGCGGAACGGAGGUGCAAGGGGCGACUCUUUAAACACGGGGUUCGUGGCGAUAUCUGUUGCGAGAAGUAUGUCCUAUUCACUGAGGUGCUUCGGAAAUCGAACGCGGCGACCGGAGCGUGUUGUUACCGGUGGCGCUUGAAGUUCAGGAGCGGUGCUGCAAGGAGAUGAUGAUCUCUGCUGGCGAUUUCCCUGGUGCUGCGAGGUUGAUGACGGCGGUCGGCUAGUUGGCUCUUGAAGCCCCGACGAAGGAGUAGCGUCGAUGGCUGGGUUGCUGAGCUCAGAGGAGCGUCCGCUGUCAGUGUUGUCUUCUGCCGCAUAGCACGGUUUGAGACGGUCGAUAGAAAUUCUGACCACCUUCCCGUUUACCAACAGCGAGAAGAAUUUUGCUGCGCGGUCCGUAACUUUGUAGGGUCCGUCGUAAGGCGCUGAUAACGAAGGCCGGACGGAGUCGUUUCUGACAAACACAUGAGAAGAAGUGGCGAGGUCCUUGUGGAAGAAGGAGCGCCAGCGCGUUGCGGCGUCUUUGGUGAUGGCUGCUUGUUGCAGCGUGGAAACCUGGAGGCGCCAGCGGUGGUGGCGAACUGCUCCAGGGGCGCCAGCGCGUUGCGGCGUCUUUGGUGAUGGCUGCUUGUUGCAGCGUCGGAACCUGGAGGCGCCAGCGGUGGUGGCGAACUGCUCCAGGGGGCGCCAGCGCGUUGCGGGGAAUGCUGCGCUGUCCUUACGAAUUCCUGGCCAGACAAAUCGUGCAGUCAUCAUUUUAGUGGUUGACCUUGUGCCUGGAUGAUGAAGGUUGUGCACUGCUCUAAGGAAAGUCUCCCGGUAAGCUCUUGUGAUGAAGGGGCGCAAUCGGUUGCCGUCGUCGUCACAAACUAAGCUUGCGUUAGAGCCAGGAAGGACUGUGGUGCGAAGAUUGAGGCCAGACUUGUCGUUGGCGCGUAGUAGUUGCUGUAGUUCAUCGUCUGUGGCUUGGUCCUUAGCCAGGGCAUCGUAGUCGAUGAUGUUGUCAGUACUGCAGGUUUCGAUGCGGGACAACAAGUCGGCCGCGACAUUCUCGCGUCCUUGGACGUGGCGGAUGUCCGUUGUGAAUUGCCCGAUAAAGUCCAACUGACGGAGUUGGCGAGGCGAGGCUUUAGAUGCCGACUGGUGGAACGCAUACGUGAUGGGCUUGUGGUCCGUGUACACGUGAUGUUGCCUGCCUUCAAGCCAAUGGCGGAAAUGUCGAAUCGCCAAAAAGAUUGCUGUCAGCUCCCUGUCGUAGGUGCUGUAAUUCCGCUGUGCCUGGUCGAAUCGCUUUGAGAAGAAUUCUAGUGGCUGGAGUGUUCCAUCUAUUACUUGAUGUAGCGCGGCGCCUGCGGAGAAGUCCGAAGCGUCAACCCACAAAGAGAGUUCGGCGUCUGCUUUGGGAUGAGCUAGGAGCGUAGCGUCCGCCAGUUGAUUCUUGCAAUUUUCGAAGGCAGCGGUGGUUUCCUCGGACCAGGUUAGUGGGGUCCGGCAGUGCGAUGUUCCGUCGGCAUGGCGCCGACGAUGGUAGCGGGGGUGGACGCGCUGGUCGGAGUGCUUGGAGGUUCGGACUGGUCCAGAGUGGCCAUGACGAUCUAAUUCACUGAUCACGACUCACUUAGUGGAUAGUGUCACCGAAGCACUUUUUCACGCUUGUCUCACCUCGAGCGAGAGAGCAGCGGGCGGAGAAGUUCUCGACGCCUGUAUGUACGAUGGCUUUCUCUCCUCAAGAACACGUGUUCGCGAGUGGAAGAGUGCGCGUGCACUUCGUUGCGAAGCACGAAGAGAGUUUUUUGCGCGCUUGUUCACGAUCGCGGAGAGAGAGUUUCUGCACGGAUGGCGUGCCGAUUUCCGCGAACUGGUUGUAACGUGUUUUUUCCUGCACGCGAGCGUGGCGUCGAUGCGUUCUUGGAAUUGUUUAAUGCUGCUCUUCGGUUUCACUGGAAGCUGGUGGUAGCACGGAGUCUUUGAAGGACAGGAAAUAUCAGGAAUGGCCGGCGCGCGUCGCCGUAGCGAUUCCUGCUGAUUCCUGUGUCCUUGUCGGUCCACUUUCUGCGCCGGUGUUCGGCGGAACGAUUUGCACUGACACUGGCCGAUCAAACUGCACCGGCGUGGUUGCGUGUUUUCUGAAGAGCCGGUGUUCGGCGUCACUUGUUCACUUCCCGAUCACGUCGGGGUCACCAAUUUAUGUGGGGUAUGCUACUCUACUCCAACACAUUUUUUAUUUUGAGAUCGGAAGUUGUGAACUGAAUUGACUUUUAUUAAAACGCUUUUUUUGGUGUGCAAAAGAACGUCCGUGCUCCAUGGAGGUUGAAACCGAAGAGAGCGUUCUCAAGUAGCGCUUAAUGUAUGGUUCCACGAUGCGCGUGGAAAAGUCGAGCAGCGCUUAAGGCGCGUGCUGAUGUGAAUAGUUCUCGUGUAGCUAUGGUCGC